CGGCUCAGUAACACGUCAAUAAUAUACCCUUAGGUAGGGCAUAACCUCGAGAAAUUGAGAGUAAUUCCCUAUAAAAGAUAUAUUCUGGAAUGAUUUAUCUUUCAAAGCUUCGGCGCCUAAGGAUUAGUUGGCGGCAGAUUAGCUUGUUGGUGGUGUAAUGGACCACCAAGGCGAAGAUCUGUAAGGGGGAUGAGAGUCCUAGCCCUGAGAGGGACACUGAGAUAAGGGUCCCAGCCCUACGGGGUGCAGCAGUUACGAAAACUCCACAAUGCACGCAAGUGUGAUGGGGGAACUCUACGUGCUGGCGUAUUUCGUCAGCUUUUCUUUAGCCUUAAUAGCUAGAGGAAUAAGUGGUGGGCAAGACCGGUGCCAGCCGCCGCGGUAAUCCCGGCGCCACGAGUGAUAGUCGUUUUUAUUGGGUCUAAAGCAUCCGUAGCCGGUCGGAUAAGUUUCUAGUGAAAUUCGGGAGCUCAACUUCCGAGCGUGCUGGAAAUACUAUUCGACUUGAGACUGGGAGGAGCUAGAGGAAUUCCUUAGGGAGCGGUAAAAUGUUUUAAUCUAAGGAGGACCACCAGUGGCGAAGGCGUCUAGCUAGAACAGGUCUGACGGUCAGGGAUGAAAGCUGGGGGAGCAAAUUGAAGAAGGUUAACCUUUCUUUGAGCUUAAAGAGGAUUAGAUACCCUCGUAGUCCCAGCUGUAAACGCUGCCUGCUUGAUGUUGCGUUUUCCUCGAGAAUGCGCAGUGUCGGAGCGAAGGCGAUAAGCAGGCCACCUGGGAAGUACGGUCGCAAGGCUGAAACUUAAAGGAAUUGGCGGA
rnacentral:rRNA from 1 species